AACAGGAUUAGAUACCCUGGUAGUCCACGCUGUAAACGAUGUCGAUUUGGAGGUUGUGGUCUUGAACCGUGGCUUCCGGAGCUAACGCGUUAAAUCGACCGCCUGGGGAGUACGGCCGCAAGGUUAAAACUCAAAUGAAUUGACGGGGGCCCGCACAAGCGGUGGAGCAUGUGGUUUAAUUCGAUGCAACGCGAAGAACCUUACCUACUCUUGACAUCCAGCGAACCUUGUAGAGAUACGAGGGUGCCUUCGGGAGCGCUGAGACAGGUGCUGCAUGGCUGUCGUCAGCUCGUGUUGUGAAAUGUUGGGUUAAGUCCCGCAACGAGCGCAACCCUUAUCCUUUGUUGCCAGCACUUCGGGUGGGAACUCAAGGGAGACUGCCGGUGAUAAACCGGAGGAAGGUGGGGAUGACGUCAAGUCAUCAUGGCCCUUACGAGUAGGGCUACACACGUGCUACAAUGGCGUAUACAAAGAGAAGCGACCUCGCGAGAGCAAGCGGACCUCAUAAAGUACGUCGUAGUCCGGAUUGGAGUCUGCAACUCGACUCCAUGAAGUCGGAAUCGCUAGUAAUCGUAGAUCAGAAUGCUACGGUGAAUGCGUUCCCGGGCCUUGUACACACCGCCCGUCACACCAUGGGAGUGGGUUGCAAAAGAAGUAGGUAGCUUAACCUUCGGGAGGGCGCUUACCACUUUGUGAUUCAUGACUGGGGUGAAGUCGUAACAAGGUAACC
rnacentral:rRNA from 1 species